AUUGAACGCUGGCGGCAGGCCUAACACAUGCAAGUCGAGCGGAUGAAGGGAGCUUGCUCCUGGAUUCAGCGGCGGACGGGUGAGUAAUGCCUAGGAAUCUGCCUGGUAGUGGGGGAUAACGUCCGGAAACGGGCGCUAAUACCGCAUACGUCCUGAGGGAGAAAGUGGGGGAUCUUCGGACCUCACGCUAUCAGAUGAGCCUAGGUCGGAUUAGCUAGUUGGUGGGGUAAAGGCCUACCAAGGCGACGAUCCGUAACUGGUCUGAGAGGAUGAUCAGUCACACUGGAACUGAGACACGGUCCAGACUCCUACGGAAGGCAGCAGUGGGGAAUAUUGGACAAUGGGCGAAAGCCUGAUCCAGCCAUACCGCGUGUGUGAAGAAGGUCUUCGGAUUGUAAAGCACUUUAAGUUGGGAGGAAGGGCAGUAAGUUAAUACCUUGCUGUUUUGACGUUACCAACAGAAUAAGCACCGGCUAACUUCGUG
rnacentral:rRNA from 1 species